rnacentral:rRNA from 1 species
UACAGAGGGUGCAAGCGUUGUUCGGAAUUAUUGGGCGUAAAGCGCGUGUAGGCGGCCUUGCCAGUCGGGUGUGAAAGCCCUCAGCUCAACUGAGGAAGCGCGCCCGAAACUGCAGAGCUUGAGUACCGGAGAGGAUGGCGGAAUUCCCCAAGUAGAGGUGAAAUUCGUAGAUAUGGGGAGGAACACCGGUGGCGAAGGCGGCCAUCUGGACCGAGACUGACGCUGAGGCGCGAAAGCGUGGGGAGCAAACAGG